GAUGAACGCUGGCUACAGGCUUAACACAUGCCAGUCGAGGGGAAACGACGGGGAAGCUUGCUUCCCCGGGCGUCGACCGGCGCACGGGUGAGUAACGCGUAUCCAACCUGCCUCUGACUGAGGGAUAACCCGUCGAAAGUCGGCCUAAUACCUCAUGGCAUCGUCUGCGGGCAUCCAACGACGAUUAAAGAUUUCAUCGGUCAGGGAUGGGGAUGCGUCUGAUUAGCUUGUUGGCGGGGUAACGGCCCACCAAGGCUACGAUCAGUAGGGGUUCUGAGAGGAAGGUACCCCACAUUGGAACUGAGACACGGUCCAAACUCCUACGGGAGGCAGCAGUGAGGAAUAUUGGGCAAUGGGCGGGAGCCUGAACCAGCCAAGUAGCGUGCAGGAUGACGGCCCUAUGGGUUGUAAACUGCUUUUAUGCGGGGAUAAAGUGAGGGACGUGUCCUUCAUUGCAGGUACCGCAUGAAUAAGGACCGGCUAAUUCCGUG
rnacentral:rRNA from 1 species